UACAGGGGGGGGCAAGCGUUGUUCGGAAUUACUGGGCGUAAAGGGUCUGUAGGUGGCCAACUAAGUCAGACGUGAAAUCCCUCAGCUUAACUGGGGAACUGCGUCUGAUACUGGAUGGCUCGAGUGUGGGAGAGGAAUGCGGAAUUCCAGGUGUAGCGGUGAAAUGCGUAGAUAUUGGGAGGAACACCAGUGGCGAAGGCGGCUCACUGGACCGGAACUGACGCUGAGGCGCGAAAGCGUGGGGAGCAAACAGG
rnacentral:rRNA from 1 species